AGCAACCAUUUGAGUAUUCAUGUGAAAGAUUGAUGCAACUUGGAAGUACCAAUCUCACUAGUUAUCACCAACAAGAACAAGCCCCACUCUAAACUGAUGAAAUCAUUCUGCAUCUCUGACAAUGCUCUCGAAUUCCCCUUUCCAUGUUCUCCAAUAACACAAGCACAAAAGAACUUGGGAGAUAGGAGAACACUGAAUUCAUCAUACAAGAAAAAC
rnacentral:lncRNA from 1 species